AUGUUUCAGUUGGUAAAACCUCCAGCCUUCAGUUCUAUUUGUACAGUCUUUAACAGUCAACCUCUUUUUUCUUGUUUUGAAAAAAGUGUUCUUCCCUCUACCAUGUCUUUAAACCCAGUCUAUUUCCUGGGACAGGUCUACAUCAUUAAACUGCAGAUGGUUCUUUUUCUACUAAGCAGCAGGUAUCAUUCUUGUCCCGACAAGAGGAGGCUCCACCUGCUGCCAGCCUACCAAUACUUCCAGCUGACUGCUUUGCAGAACAGGAAAGGGGAGAUUACAAAGAGAAGUUGGCAGUCUCCAAACUGUGAGCUCUCACCAGAACCUCAUCCUGAUCUUGGACUUCUAAUCUUCUUGGACUUUUCACCUAUGAGAAAUAAAUUUCUGUUGUUUAUAAACCACCCAGUCUAUGGUACUUUGUUAUAGUAGUGUAUUAGGGUUCUCUAGAGGGACAUAACUAAUAGGAUAGAUUGUAUACAUAAGGGGGAGUUUAUUAAGGAGUAUUGAGUCAUAUGAUCACAAGGUGAAGUCCUACAAUAUGCCACCUGCAAACUGAGGAGUAAAGAAGCCAAUCUGAGUCCCAGAAACCUCAAAAUUAUGGAAGCCUUCAGUCUGUUGUCAAAGGUCCAAGAGUCCAAAAGCUGAAGAACUUGGAGUCUGAGGUUCAAGGACAGAAAGCACCCAGCACAGGAGAAAGAUGUGUACAGAAGACUCAGCCAGUCUAGCCUUUCCAUGUUCCUCUGCCUGCUUUUAUCCUAGCUGCAUUGGCAGCUGAUUAGAUGGUGCCCACUCAGAUUGGGAGUGGGUCUGGAUGUCCCAGUUCACUGACUCAAAUGUUAAUCUUCUUUGGCGACACCCUCACAGACACACCGAGCAACACUACUUUGCAUCCUUCAAUCCAAUCACAUAAAUAUUCAAUAUUAACCAUCACAAAUAACCUGACUGGCAAAGCGAUUAAUCUAACCUGUUGAUUUUCUACUGAAUUUUAUAAGUCUUUUUGGAGUAUUUCCUAAAGCCUCAGUCAGUCAACAUUAUGUGUUUCUAAUCUUAAUCAUCCAGAUCUCUGCUUCUUGCAUCUUCAUAUCUCAUGCCUCAAGCUCACUAUGCACAUUCUCAACACCAUGUUGUUCGUACUGUGCAUCUAUCUUGGAAUUCUCUGCUUUUUUUUCUUUCCAAUUUAAUUUUUUAUACAUCCAUUAAAGAUAAACUUAAGUUGAAUUUUCUUUACACAGUAUUUCUUAAUUGCUCUAGUCAGGCUUAAUUGCUCUUUUUUUUAUUUCAAUUCACCUUUUUUUUUUGUUUUUUUUUGUCUUUUUUAGACAGAGUCCCACUCUGUCACCCAGGCUAGAGUGCAGUGACGUGAUCUCGGCUUACUGCAACCUCCGUUUCCCGGGUUCAAGUGAUUUUCCUGCCUCAGUCUCCCGAG
rnacentral:lncRNA from 13 species